rnacentral:rRNA from 1 species
AAUAGAUACCCUGGUAGUCCACGCCGUAAACGAUGAGUGCUAAGUGUUAGAGGGUUUCCGCCCUUUAGUGCUGCAGCAAAACGCAUUAAGCACUCCGCCUGGGGAGUACGGCCGCAAGGCUGAAACUCAAAGGAAUUGACGGGGGCCCGCACAAGCGGUGGAGCAUGUGGUUUAAUUCGAAGCAACGCGAAGAACCUUACCAGGUCUUGACAUCUCCUGACAACCCUAGAGAUAGGGGCGUUCCCCUUCGGGGGGACAGGAUGACAGGUGGUGCAUGGUUGUCGUCAGCUCGUGUCGUGAGAUGUUGGGUUAAGUCCCGCAACGGGCGCAACCCUUGAUCUUAGUUGCCAGCAUUCAGUUGGGCACGUCUAAGGUGACUGCCGGUGACAAACCGGAGGAAGGUGGGGAUGACGUCAAAUCAUCAUGCCCCUUAUGACCUGGGCUACACACGUGCUACAAUGGAUGGUACAAAGGGCUGCGAGACCGCGAGGUUAAGCGAAUCCCAUAAAAACCAUUCUCAGUUCGGAUUGCAGGCUGC